rnacentral:rRNA from 1 species
CCUACGGGAGGCAGCAGUAGGGAAUAUUGCUCAAUGGGGGCAACCCUGACGCAGCAACGCCGCGUGGAGGAUGAAGGUUUUCUGAUUUUUAAAUCCUUUUUUUAGAGCAGAUAAUGUCGGUAUCUAACUACUCCUCACCGGCUAACUCCGUUCCAGCAGCCGCGGUCCUACGGAGGGUGCAAGCGUUACUCGGACUCACUGGGCGUAAAGAGCGCGUAGGAGGGAUAGCAAGUCAGGUGUGAAAUCCUAUGGCUUAACCAUAGCACUGCCUUUGAAACUGUUCUUCUUGAGUAUGGGAGAGGGAGGCGGAAUUCUUGGUGUAGGGGUAAAAUGCGUAGAGAUCAAGAGGAAUACUGAUUGCGAAGGCGACCUGCUAGAACAUAACUGACGCUGAUGCGCGAAAGCGUGGGGAGCAAACAGGAUUAGAUACCCCUGUAGUC